GCACCCGUAGCUCAAUUGGAUAGAGCGCCAGACUACGAAUCUGGAGGCUAGAGGUUCGAGUCCUCUCGGGUGCACCA
rnacentral:tRNA from 1 species